AACCCUUGUCCUUAGUUACCAGCACGUUAUGUGGGCACUCUAAGGAGACUGCCGGUGACAACCGGAGGAAGGUGGGGAUGACGUCAAGUCAUCAUGGCCCUUACGGCCUGGGCUACACACGUGCUACAAUGGUCGGUACAAAGGGUUGCCAAGCCGCGAGGUGGAGCUAAUCCCAUAAAACCGAUCGUAGUCCGGAUCGCAGUCUGCAACUCGACUGCGUGAAGUCGGAAUCGCUAGUAAUCGUGAAUCAGAAUGUCACGGUGAAUACGUUCCCGGGCCUU
rnacentral:rRNA from 1 species